UCAAAAACAUGUCUUUUGAAAUAUUUAAAGUCUAAUCUGCCCACUGAUAUUAAUUAUUAAAGGGCUGCAGUAUAUUGACUGUACAAAGGUAGCAUAAUCAUUAGUCUUUUAAUUGAAGACUUGUAUGAAAGAUUUGAUGAAAUAUAAACUGUCUCUAAUUUAUUAAUAAAAAUUAAUUUUUUAGUUAAAAAGCUAAAAUAAUAUUAAAAGACGAGAAGACCCUAUAAAGUUUAAUAAUUUAUUUAUUUAAUAUUAAAUAUAUAAUUAAAUAUAAUAAUUAAUAUAAAUUAUUUUAUUGGGGUGAUAGAAAAAUUUAAUUAACUUUUUUUAAUAAUUAAACAUAAAUAAAUGAUUUAUUGAUCCAUUAUUAAUGAUUAAAAGAAAAAAUUACUUUAGGGAUAACAGCGUAAUAUUUUUUUUUAGUACAAAUAAAAAAAAAAGUUUGCGACCUCGAUUUUGGAUUAAGAUAAAAUUUAAAUGUUAAAGUUUAAAAUUUUGAUCUGUUCGAUCAUUAAAAUCUUACAUGAUCUGAGCU
rnacentral:rRNA from 1 species